UGCUAAUAAAUAUGAUAAUUAUGAAGUACUGCGUAUCACUAAAAGUUUAUUUAGACAACUGGACUUUGCCUCUCAACAUUCUUCUGGAAAAAUAUUUCACCAUAAUCAGUCAGGAUCAUUUCUAAAACAGCCAAAGGAUUAAAGGAAAAAUCGAUCUUUGCACCUUUUACAUACAGGGUAGUGGUUUCGAUGUUUCCUUUUUCCAUUCUGUGACCUAUAAAAUACUGUUUCUAGACAGCUCCACGAAAUAUUUUUCCCAUCCUUCAUCUUGGCUGCUUCCCGAGGACGUGUGCUUUUCCAAGGAUUCUUGGCAUACAAGGGCAGUAAACCAUGCCCCUGCCAUGACUGUUUGAUUCCCAACCUCCUGCCGGAGCUUUCUGACAGGCGGAAGGUAGCUUGCUCCUGCUUAUGAAGUGCCUUAGAAAAUGAGCGCCUUUGCAGGUUAAAUGCGUGCCAGGAGUAGCCUCGUGCUUUCCGGGCUGCCAAAUACAGAAGAGUGGCUCAAGUUCGAAGACGCUUAGUCGUCAAGGUGAGGAACAAUGGGUCUUCCUGUUGUGGAGCACACUUCCACGUCCACAGCCUCACCACACGGGCUCUCUAAUUCAAAACUGCUCGGAAAUUUUAAUUUUGCCAGAAUACUGGCAGGAGAGGCGAUUCCAAAAUGCGAGUCUAAAUUUAACCACUUUCUCUUUCAACCGUGGCAGGUAACAGUACGUAUUGCUUUUAACUGCGGAAAGGUCCUAGACCAGUGAUGGCACGCAUCGCAGCAGACUGUUUGCAUCGUUGAAAGCUCUAACGGGUUCUCCAGCACUGGCCGGGAAUGAAGACUUUGUUUCCUGAG
rnacentral:lncRNA from 1 species